AUGAAGUUCGAUGAGGAUAAUCUAUUUAAAGUAACUCCUAACAUAGUAAAGUUCUUGAUUAAUAAAGAUCAGCCUAACGCUAAGCAAUAUCUAAAGGGUUGCCUACCAAGUAGCUUACCUAUGCUUAAGAUGUUUGGUAUCUAUACGCUUGAGGCUAUCAUGAUUCAUGUACUAGGCUUGGUAUUCAACACUCUUCAGGAAUCAUCCACAGUUAAGGCAGCUAGAUUUAUAGAUCAACUUAAUUCAACUGUACGAGAACAAGCAAGGUUUCUACAAUACAAAGCACCAGGUAGUGGUAAGGUGGAAGCAGUACUCACUAGUAAGGUAGAAUCAGUUAAGGAUGUUGUUCAGCCCAAAGGUGCUAGCAAAAAAGAGAAAAAGAAAAAAAUGCAGUGUCAUUAUGAUAUCGGGAAAUACUUGCUCCAAUUCAUGACUGAAAGAAAUGUUCUACAUAUAUCAAUAGACAGGGGAGUAACAAAAGAAGAUCCAGUGCUGGUUCUUAAGAAAGGUCAAGGGUAUAUAGAGAAUUCUUGUUAUGUUAUGUGCAAUUUGAACAUAAAUCUGCUUCCUAUCAAACUCAAUCUUCCGAUGCUUUGCAAACCCUUGGAUUGGCAACCAGCAGAGAGGGGGUCUGAUCCUGAUACAUUAUCGGAUCUGAUAGGAGGUUACUUAUGCAAACCCACGGGGGAUAUCUAG
rnacentral:rRNA from 1 species